CGUAGGUGGCAAGCGUCGUCCGGAUUUAUUGGGUUUAAAGGGUGCGUAGGCGGCUUUGUAAGUCAGUGGUGAAAUACUCCAGCUCAACUGGAGAGGUGCCAUUGAUACUGCAGAGCUAGAGUACUGAUGAGGUAGGCGGAAUGGACGGUGUAGCGGUGAAAUGCUUAGAUAUCGUCCAGAACACCGAUAGCGAAGGCAGCUUACUAAAGAGUAACUGACGCUGAGGCACGAAAGUGUGGGGAUCAAACAGGAUUAGAUACCCUGGUAGUCCACACUGUAAACGUUGAUCACUAGAUGUUGGCGAUACACUGCCAGCGUUCCAGCAAAAGCGAUAAGUGAUCCACCUGGGGAGUACGCCCGCAAGGGUG
rnacentral:rRNA from 1 species